CAGUUGAAAAGGCAUGAUUCACCCUUAUAUCUCCUGAAUCCAACCUCCCAAUAUCACAUUCAAACACCCUUCUAAGCUCAACCAGCAAAACCUCACACACCUCCACCACAAGACUUAGGUCGAAUUCAAGAAGCCGAAACGCGCUCAAACAGCACCGCAGAAGUAGCUUCGCAUCCUCCGCCAAAAAUCCCAGAUCCGCAGCUUUCGCGCCCACAUGAGGAGGGCGAAUCAAUUGCCCCGAUCGUCUCUUUAGCUCUUCGAAGAUAAAAUUUGAGACAUUUAAAACAUCCGCAAAAUGUGAUCCCGAUUCUGAACCAGAAAAGUUGGAGAGUAGGGUAUGCAGCUGCUUCAGGAAAUCGGCCAUCAGAAAUUGAGAGGAAGCAGGAAUCAACAAACCCUAAUAAAGCAAAAUUAGGUUAUAAUUUGAAUAUUUUUUUCCAAAUAACGCUAAAGAAUAUUAUAAUUGGCUAAGUAACCCUACUAAAAAAAUAUUUGACAAAAUAACCCUCCUUUUCCCAAGUCAGGAUAAAAAAAAAUUUAAAGCAGUGAAUCAUUCACCGUCUCGUUCACCGUCUUUAAGAGACAGUACCUGAUUUACCGUCUUCGACGGUGAACGAUUUACCGUUUUCAUAAUUUUCUAUUAUACCGGUCGGGAUUAUACAUAAGAAAGAGAAAAAAAAAAUGGUUAGAAUUGUAUGUGGAUGAUAUGAAAAAUAGAAAAAAAUAAGAUUGUUAGGAUUAUACGUGGAUUAUUAAAAUUUUUAUUUGAUUGUUAGGAUUGUAUGGAUAGAUUAUUAGGAUUUUCAGAUUGUUAAGAUUAUAUGUAAUUUGUUAAAAUUUUUAUGUAGUUGUUAGGAUUAUAUAUGGGAUAUAGAAAGAAAUAGUAAAUAAGCGAAAGACGUUGAAUGAUUCACCACUUUUGUAAAAAAUUAGGAAGAAUCGUUUACCGUCUUCAUGAAGGUGGUAAAUCGUCCACCAUCUUUAUGAGAAAAUUUCAACGUGGCUCUUACAUGACAAAAAAAGGAUUAGUUUGCGAAAAAAUUUCAUAGGAUUAUUUACCCAAUUAGAAAAUUUUAUAGGGUCAUUUUGAAAAAAAAAGGUCCUUAUAAAUUUUCUUUUGAAAAACAAAACUAGGAGAGAGCAGAGGACGAGGGAGAUCACCUGUGGAGAGAAAAGUGGCUUCCGGCUUAAAAAGAAAGAGAGCAGUUGGCGAUCAAUUUUUCCUUCAAAAUGGUCUAACCAAAACCUAUGUAACAACCUAACGACUCGCAACCUAUCGAUGAUGAAAUCGCUGUGAGACGAGGAUGGCAGGAAGGAUGAUGGAGUCCUCUAUUUAUCUCUACUAGGUGAGAAUUAAAGAGUUUAGGAAAGGUUAGGAAGAGGUAAAGAGUGGGAAUUUGGAAAAAGUUGGCUAAGAAGAGCAGGAUUAGAGGGAAGGAAAUUGGAAGGUAGAGAGGAAAUGGAGGGAAGAUGAUAGGGGAAGAAGAAGAAGAUCCAAAUAAAAGUGGAGAGAGAGAGAAUUUGGGAAGAAAGAAAGUAGUAUCUAUACUUACUAGUGUAGAGCUAUUAUACUGUCGAAAGUAUAAAAGAGUUGGUGAUUUCGAUUUUUUAACUAUUGGAUCAAGAAUUGUAGGGUCAAGAUAAUAGUAGUCCCCUUCGAUUUUUUAACUAUAGGUUUAGUGCAUAAAACAAGGAAUCUAAAAACUAUUGAUCACAAGCAGAAGACGCAAAAAACAAGGACGAUUAAUUGAACAUAUGCCUUUUACAAAUUAAGACAGAAACUAUAGGUUUAGUGCAUUAUUUGUUUUGCCUGGGAUCAAUUGGAUUAUCCAGCUCUACUCAUCUAGCUAAGGUUAGAAAUGAGUAUCUUAACAUGUGUAUUGGCAAUUUGAAUUAUUGCUGAGGUCCACAUUGUGGUUCUCGAAGCAUUAAUGCGAGACCUUACGAGGUUUUCUGAAACAUGGUUGAGAACUCAGAUUGCAUAUUCAAUGCUGCAAGGGAAAGCCCUAGAAAACACAUAUAUGCAGCAGGAAAUAAUAUACAAAAGUAGAAAAAUUUUCAUGGUUAGCGUUCACUUCUAAAAGCCCAGCUACACUAUGUAAACAUAUACCAAAUGGGCUUUAAAUAAAGCCACAGCUUAAGAGCACUGGAAUUUAGCAAUGUAAAAUUUUUACAGCUUUAUGUAUCAUGGGAACCUUGAGAAAGACUAAGAUAUUAUAAGCAGAGUAAAUUUUAUUUACAUAAUAGAGAAUAGAAAAACAUUGUAGACAAUUACAGGAUUAACGAUGCCAGUAACACAACACAAUCUCAGAUUCUAGCUUAGAAUAAAAGGAAGAGAUGAAAGAUGCAAGUCCCAAAUAUGAGACUCGACAAAAUUAUUGACAAACUACUAAGACCAACUAUUAACAUAACAUUCAAUUCUUAAGAGAAUGAUUCAAAUUGCCAAUACACAUGUAAAGAUACUCAUCACCACAUAAAGCGGUCCUUUCAACUGGAAAUUCAUCAUCAUAAUAUAGAGUAUCUUUGUAGGGUUUAUAGGGCACAGGUUUGCGGGUGUGUUCAAAAUAAUACAAUUAGUUUGUUUUGCUCAGAUUCUAAUGAUAUUUUUUUUUUUGCUGCGACAGACACAAUAGCUUUUUAAACUAGAUAUUUUGCUUCUGAUUUUUUACGGGCUCAUUUUAACUUUUCCUGGAGCACAAACUUUGGACAUUUAAUUUAAUUUUUUUCCAGAUGCUGCUUGGAGUAGAGAAACUAUAUAAAGAUCAGGCAAAACAAAGGCUAAAAAUUAUCCUCAAUAAAUUCCAUCCUUAACAUGUGGGUCGGAUGCUUUCAACCUCCACAUCAUUAAACAAGAGAGCAUUCUCUAGCUCUGCCCAUGGACAAGAUCUUAACUCUAUAUCCGAACAAUUUUUGCAAUAACCAAUCAUAGUUAAAUGCCUAAGCUUUUUGUCUCUGAAGUGGUAGACAAGUAAACAAGAUUAAGUUUUACUCUGUUUCAUGACUCUACCUUUUAGCCUCAGCCAAAAAUCAGUGAAAAAAGGAAAAUAAUAUCAAAGAUAAUGAUUUGUAUUCAAGCAAGUCAAAAUAACUGUGCAUUCAGAAGAACACAGGAAUGAUCACAAAAUUCUGAAGAGCACUUGGGACAAUGCAAUUGUGUCCUUGUGAUGAGGCUUUUUCUGACAGAAAUAUGCAAUAGGAUACAUAUAACCUUAUCCACCUUAACAUCUCUAUAAACAGCAUUAUUCGGACAGCAUUUUGUUAACCACUGCUUAUGAAGUAUGGGUAAAGAACUAUUCACACGCAGCAUCUCGUUGAAAAUGUCAAACUAUUUUCAUUUCCCGUCACGGCAGUUUCAAAUCCUUAAUUAUCGAUGACAAUUUUGUGUAUGCUAGCUUUACCGGAAGUAAGCCAGAGUAAAACACAAACUAAGAUGUUACAAAGGGGAAACACAUACAGAAACUCAUUUAAACAAUAAAUCCAUUCAAAAUCAAAACAAAUAAUGCACUAAACCUAUUUAAACAACAUUUUAUAGCAUCAAUACAAACUAGAAAGAUUUUGCUCAUGGCAUAACAAUAAAUCCUUCAAAAAAUCAAAAAAAAAAUUGGGAUCUGAAAUAGGAAAAGGAAACGGAGAAGAAAUUACCGCACGAACCUUGUUUUGGAGCAAGGAAACCUCAGAAAUGGCGAGCGAUGCCGCUGCGAUUGGCGGAGGUGAUCAUGGCAUGGAUGCCCUAGGUCGAGAGAAGAGGUCGGGGAGAAUCUCGCAUGGUGAAGGUGAUCAUGGCAUGGAUGCCCUAGGUCGAGAGAAGAGGUCGGGGAGAGUCUCGCAUGGUGGAGGUCAUCAUGGCAUGGAUGCGAGGUCGGGGAGAGUCUCGCUGUGAGAGGGGAUCGCGACGGGGUCGAGGAGAGUCUCGCUGUGAGAGGGGAUCGCGACGGGGUCGGGGAGAGUCUCGCUGUGAGAGAGGAUGUAACAACCCUGAAGAAUAAAUGGUAGAAAUAGUAGUAGUAGUAGUUAGCAUGGUAGAGUAGUAAAAAUGUCAACUUUACAAAGUAGAGCAGAGAAGUGACAGCAGGAGGUUGGUGAGGAGUGAGCUCCGCGGAGCGAUCCGGCGGGAAGGCGCUCGGGCGGAACUCCGGCGGGAAGGAGCCUUCGAAGGGGGCUCAGGCGAGCUCGACGGAGCUAGGGCAUCCUCAAAGCUCGGAGAGAGCGACGGGAGGUCCGACGAAAUCCAUGUAGUUGGGGCGAAGGAGAGAGCCGGCGGAUCGGGCGGUCGGAUUACCGGAUCGGGCGUAAAACGCGGACCCAAGCCCCGCCGGAUUGCGGAUGAUGCGGAGAAGGCAGGAACCGACGCCCACUUACCGCUACGCACGGGUCGGGCGAACCAGGAGCUCGGAUCGGGGCGAAAUGGCGAACCCAAAACCCGCAGGGUUGCGGGUAGUGCAGAGAAGGGCGGACCCGAGUCCGUUUGCCCGCCUCCCAGGCGGUUUGGACCAAACAAGCCCACCCGAGGCCCACAAGGCAACCGGAUUCAACCCAUCAGGCCUCAUUCCCCAUUUUUGACAAAUUGCUGUUAACCCCUAGUAACUUAGUUCGCUUACAUUUCAGUACAAGUUGCAUAUGCUACAUAUAGUUAACAGGAUGUAAUUGCAAGGCAUGAAUGAAAUGAAUUAGUUUAUUUUCUUCCCCAAAAGUUCUUCUCCAAACCCUUCUUCUUCUCUACUUUUUCUCUUCCCAAUUCUUCUCUACACCUUUAUCUCUCUCUUAUUUCCCUCAAUUCUCCCCAAUUCUCCCUGAAUCUCCCCAAUCCCUUUUCUCCCUUAUCUCAAUUCCCCUCUUGACCUGCCAGUGAAGGACCAUCAUCCCCGUUGCCAUUCUAAUCUCAGCGAAUUCUCAUCAUUGAUGGUUGCAACAAGUCCGGAUUAACCACUGGGAUAUUACAGGGGAUCGGUUCUCAAAUGUGGGAGAGAGGAGAUAAUAGGCUAGGUUAACAUUACCCCAAUAAUUAAUGUGAGAUACCUACCCUCUCCCAAGAGAAUAGGAUUAGCACUUUGGAAUUAAUCUCAUUACCAAGUGAAUUUAAGAUUACCAAAUAGAUUACCUAAUGUAUUUAGCCAAACACCGUCAUAUUUUCACAUUCCGAUUGGAUUACUAUGUAUCUUAAAAAGAUAACGCGAACCAAACGCGCCCUUAAUUCCAAGUGUAACUUUCCAACACAAACUUACCAUAGUGGUAUCCGACCCAAAUUUCACAGACUGAAGCAUAAAUAACCUACACGGAAGGGGGGGUUUGGGGGAAGUGUUCCAAAAUUACCUCAACCACGGCAGUUGAAAAGGCAUGAUUCACCCUUAUAUCUCCUGAAUCCAACCUCCCAAUAUCACAUUCAAACACCCUUCUAAGCUCAACCAGCAAAACCUCACACACCUCCACCACAAGACUUAGGUCGAAUUCAAGAAGCCGAAACACGCUCAAACAGCACCGCAAAAGCAGCUUCACAUCCUUCGCCAAAAAUCCCAGAUCCGCAGCUUUCGCGCCCACAUGAGAAGGGCGAAUCAAUUGCCCCGAUCGUCUCUUUAGCUCUUCGAAGAUAAAAUUUGAGACAUUUAAAACAUCUGAAAAAUGUGAUCUCGAUUCUAAACCAGAAAAGUUGGAGAGUAGGGUACGCAGCUGCUUCAGGAAAUCAACCAUCAAAAAUUAAGAGGAAGCAGGAAUCAACAAACCCUAAUAAAGCAAAAUUAGGUUAUAAUUUGAAUAUAUUUUCCAAAUAACCCUAAAGAAUAUUAUAAUUGGCUAAGUAACCCUACUAAAAAAUAUUUGACAAAAUCACCAUCCUUUUGCCAAGUCAGGAUAAAAAAAAAAAUUUAAAGCAGUGAAUCAUUCACCGUCUUAGCUCAACCAGCAAAACCUCAACCACGGCAGUUGAAAAGGCAUGAUUCACCCUUAUAUCUCCUGAAACCAACCUCCCAAUAUCACAUUCAAACACCCUUCUAAGCUCAACCGGCAAAACCUCACACACCUCCACCACAAGACUUAGGUCGAAUUCAAGAAGCCGAAACACGCUCAAACAGCACCGCAGAAGCAGCUUCGCAUCCUUCGCCAAAAAUCCCAGAUCCGCAGCUUUCGCGCCCACAUGAGGAGGGCGAAUCAAUUGCCCCGAUCGUCUCUUUAGCUCUUCGAAGAUAAAAUUUGAGACAUUUAAAACAUCCGCAAAAUGUGAUCCCGAUUCUGAACCAGAAAAGUUGGAGAGUAGGGUAUGCAGCUGCUUCAGGAAAUCG
rnacentral:lncRNA from 1 species